CCGAGAUCGGGCCACUGGACUCAAGUCCGGGCAACAGAGUGAGACUCCAUUUCAAAAAAAAAAAAAAGGCAAACUGAAGCCCAGUGUAAACAGUAAAAGGAGACUGGAGACUUUAUCAAUCAGAAAUCAGCAACUCACCUCUAACUAGGGUAUUUCCACUCUAACCAGUUAAAUAUAUUUUGUCUUCCUUCUCUGUCAGCCCAUAAAAACUCACUGCUCACAUGCAAUGUGUAAUAAUCACAUCAUGGAAGAUGGGGUCUCCAUCACCUUAAGCAUUUAUGC
rnacentral:lncRNA from 10 species